GAUGAACGCUGGCGGCGUGCUUAACACAUGCAAGUCGAACGGUGAAGGCGGAGCUUGCUCUGCUGGAUCAGUGGCGAACGGGUGAGUAACACGUGAGCAAUCUGCCCCUGACUCUGGGAUAAGCGCUGGAAACGGCGUCUAAUACUGGAUACGAGCUGCGAAGGCAUCUUCAGCAGCUGGAAAGAACUUCGGUCAGGGAUGAGCUCGCGGCCUAUCAGCUUGUUGGUGAGGUAACGGCUCACCAAGGCGUCGACGGGUAGCCGGCCUGAGAGGGUGACCGGCCAAACUGGGACUGAGACAAGGCCCAGACUCCUACGGGAGGCAGCAGUGGGGAAUAUUGCACAAUGGGCGAAAGCCUGAUGCAGCAACGCCGCGUGAGGGACGACGGCCUUCGGGUUGUAAACCUCUUUUAGCAGGGAAGAAGCGAAAGUGACGGUACCUGCAGAAAAAGCGCCGGCUAACUACGUG
rnacentral:rRNA from 1 species